rnacentral:rRNA from 1 species
AGCGGAGGAAAAGAAACUAACAAGGAUUCCCCUAGUAACGGCGAGUGAAGAGGGAAGAGCCCAAGAUUGAAAGCUGGCGUCUUCGGCGUCCGCAUUGUAAUCUCAAGAAGUGUUUUCCGCUUCGGACCAUGCCUAAGUCCCUUGGAAAAGGGCAUCAUAGAGGGUGAUAAUCCCGUACAUGGCUAGGAGCGCCCGAAGCUUUGUGAUACGCUUUCUAAGAGUCGAGUUGUUUGGGAAUGCAGCUCAAAAUGGGUGGUAAAUGCCAUCUAAGGCUAAAUAUUGGGGAGAGACCGAUAGCGAACAAGUACAGUGAUGGAAAGAUGAAAAGAACUUUGAAAAGAGAGUUAAACAGUACGUGAAAUUGCCAAAAGGGAAGGGUAGGAGGUCAGAGAUGCUUUCUGGGAUUCAGCCUUGCUUUUGCUUGGUGUUUUUCUCAAAUUGCAGGCCAACGUCGGUUUUGGGCGCUGGAGAAGGGUGGAAGGAACGUGGCACCCCUCGGGGUGUGUUAUAGCCUUCUACUGGAUACGGUGACCGAGACCGAGGACAGCAGCGUACUCGCAAGAGCGGGCCUUCGGGCACCUUUACGCUUAGGGCGUUGGCAUAAUGGCCCUCUACCACCCG